rfam:Picea glauca, whole genome shotgun sequence.
GGGCAGUUAGCUCAGUGGUAAAGCAGCCCCACCAGCCAGGGGAGGUCCUGGGUUUGAUUCCUGGACUGGCCA